rnacentral:rRNA from 1 species
CUACGUGCCAGCAGCCGCGGUAAUACGGAAGGUCCAGGCGUUAUCCGGAUUUAUUGGGUUUAAAGGGAGCGUAGGCUGGAGAUUAAGUGUGUUGUGAAAUGUAGACGCUCAACGUCUGAAUUGCAGCGCAUACUGGUUUCCUUGAGUACGCACAACGUUGGCGGAAUUCGUCGUGUAGCGGUGAAAUGCUUAGAUAUGACGAAGAACUCCGAUUGCGAAGGCAGCUGACGGGAGCGCAACUGACGCUGAAGCUCGAAGGUGCGGGUAUCGAACAGGAUUAGAUACCCUGGUAGUCCGCACAGUAAACGAUGGAUGCCCGCUGUUGGUACUUGGUAUCAGCGGCUAAGCGAAAGCAUUAAGCAUCCCACCUGGGGAGUACGCCGGCAACGGUGAAACUCAAAGGAAUUGACGGGGGCCCGCACAAGCGGAGGAACAUGUGGUUUAAUUCGAUGAUACGCGAGGAACCUUACCCGGGCUUGAA